rnacentral:rRNA from 1 species
GACGAACGCUGGCGGCGUGCCUAAUACAUGCAAGUAGAACGCACAGUUUAUACCGUAGCUUGCUACACCAUAGACUGUGAGUUGCGAACGGGUGAGUAACGCGUAGGUAACCUGCCUGGUAGCGGGGGAUAACUAUUGGAAACGAUAGCUAAUACCGCAUAAUAUUAAUUAUUGCAUGAUAAUUGAUUGAAAGAUGCAACUGCAUCACUACCAGAUGGACCUGCGUUGUAUUAGCUAGUAGGUGAGGUAACGGCUCACCUAGGCGACGAUACAUAGCCGACCUGAGAGGGUGAUCGGCCACACUGGGACUGAGACACGGCCCAGACUCCUACGGGAGGCAGCAGUAGGGAAUCUUCGGCAAUGGACGAAAGUCUGACCGAGCAACGCCGCGUGAGUGAAGAAGGUUUUCGGAUCGUAAAGCUCUGCUGUAAGAGAAGAACGGGUGUGAGAGUGGAAAGUUCACACUGUGACGGUAUCUUACCAGAAAGGGACGGCUAACUACGUG